rnacentral:rRNA from 1 species
AAAUUGAAGAGUUUGAUCAUGGCUCAGAUUGAACGCUGGCGGCAGGCCUAACACAUGCAAGUCGAACGGUAACAGGAAGCAGCUUGCUGCUUUGCUGACGAGUGGCGGACGGGUGAGUAAUGUCUGGGAAACUGCCUGAUGGAGGGGGAUAACUACUGGAAACGGUGGCUAAUACCGCAUAACGUCGCAAGACCAAAGAGGGGGACCUUCGGGCCUCUUGCCAUCAGAUGUGCCCAGAUGGGAUUAGCUAGUUGGUGAGGUAACGGCUCACCAAGGCGACGAUCCCUAGCUGGUCUGAGAGGAUGACCAGCCACACUGGAACUGAGACACGGUCCAGACUCCUACGGGAGGCAGCAGUGGGGAAUAUUGCACAAUGGGCGCAAGCCUGAUGCAGCCAUGCCGCGUGUAUGAAGAAGGCCUUCGGGUUGUAAAGUACUUUCAGCGGGGAGGAAGGUGUUGCGGUUAAUAACCGCAGCAAUUGACGUUACCCGCAGAAGAAGCACCGGCUAACUCCGUGCCAGCAGCCGCGGUAAUACGGAGGGUGCAAGCGUUAAUCGGAAUUACUGGGCGUAAAGCGCACGCAGGCGGUCUGUCAAGUCGGAUGUGAAAUCCCCGGGCUCAACCUGGGAACUGCAUUCGAAACUGGCAGGCUUGAGUCUUGUAGAGGGGGGUAGAAUUCCAGGUGUAGCGGUGAAAUGCGUAGAGAUCUGGAGGAAUACCGGUGGCGAAGGCGGCCCCCUGGACAAAGACUGACGCUCAGGUGCGAAAGCGUGGGGAGCAAACAGGAUUAGAUACCCUGGUAGUCCACGCCGUAAACGAUGUCUACUUGGAGGUUGUGCCCUUGAGGCGUGGCUUCCGGAGCUAACGCGUUAAGUAGACCGCCUGGGGAGUACGGCCGCAAGGUUAAAACUCAAAUGAAUUGACGGGGGCCCGCACAAGCGGUGGAGCAUGUGGUUUAAUUCGAUGCAACGCGAAGAACCUUAC